rnacentral:rRNA from 1 species
UACGUAGGGUGCAAGCGUUGUCCGGAAUUAUUGGGCGUAAAGAGCUCGUAGGCGGUCUGUCGCGUCUGCUGUGAAAAUCCAGGGCUCAACCCUGGACCUGCAGUGGGUACGGGCAGACUAGAGUGCGGUAGGGGAGAUCGGAAUUCCUGGUGUAGCGGUGGAAUGCGCAGAUAUCAGGAAGAACACCCGGUGGCGAAGGCGGCUCUCUGGGACGGGU